rnacentral:rRNA from 1 species
GUCCACGCCGUAACGAUGGCCACUCGGUGUCAGCAUUAGAUGUUGGUGCCCAAGCGAAAGCGUUAAGUGGCCCACCUGGGGAGUACGCCGGCAACGGUGAACUCAAGGAAUUGACGGGGUCCGCACAAGCGGUGGAGCAUGUGGUUUAAUUCGAUGGUACGCGAGGAACCUUACCCGGGCUAGAAUGUGAAGGAAUGUAUCAGAGAUGGUACAGUCAGCAAUGACCUGAAACAAGGUGCUGCAUGGCUGUCGU